rnacentral:rRNA from 1 species
GGCGUGGAUAAGGCAUGCAAGUCGAGCGAUCCAGUUUACUGGAUAGCGGCAAACGGGUGAGUAACGCGUAAGUAAUUUACCCCUGCGCAUGGGACAGCCUGUCGAAAGACAGGGUAAUACCGUAUAUGCUCUUAAGAUCGUAUGGUCUAAAGAGGAAAGAUGGCCUAGACCUUCGGGUUGCUAUCGUGCAGGGAGAAGCUUGCGUCCCAUCAGCUUGUUGGUGAGGUAACGGCUCACCAAGGCGUAUGACGGGUAGCUGGUUUGAGAGGAUGAUCAGCCACACUGGCACUGAGACACUGGCCAGACUCCUACGGGAGGCUGCAGUCGAGAAUAUUUGGCAAUGGACGAAAGUCUGACCAUGCGACGCCGCGUGCAGGACGACGGCCUUCGGGUUGUAAACUGCUGUUACAGGGGAAGAAGGUUGCUUGUGAGAAUAUUGCAGGUGAUUUGACGGUACCCUGAGAGGAAGCCACGGCUAACUACGUGCCAGCAGCCGCGGUAAUACGUAGGUGGCAAGCGUUGCUCGGAUUUACUGGGUGUAAAGAGUUCGUAGGCGGUCCUGAAAGCCUAGCUUGAAAUACUAUGGCUUAACCAUAGAACGUGGUUGGGAACUACAGGACUAGAGGAUGACAGAGGCAAGCGGAAUUCCCGGUGUAAGGGUGAAAUCUGUAGAUAUCGGGAGGAACACCAAUGGGGUAGGCGGCUUGCUGGGUCAUAUCUGACGCUGAGGAACGAAAGCUAGGGGAGCAAACAGGAUUAGAUACCCUGGUAGUCCUAGCUGUAAACAAUGGGCACUAGGUGUCGGAUCUGAGGAUUCGGUGCCGUAGUUAACGCGUUAAGUGCCCCACCUGAGGAGUACGGUCGCAAGAUUGAAACUCAAAGGAAUUGACGGGGGCCAGCACAAGCGGUGGAACAUGUGGUUUAAUUCGAUGCUACUCGAAGAACCUUACCCAGGCUUGACAUGUAGGAAGUACGAACCUGAAAGGGUUAGGACUCGUAACCAAUCGAGAACCUUCACAGGGAGCUGCAUGGCUGUCGUCAGCUCGUGCCGUGAGGUGUUGGCUUAAGUGCCAAAACGAGCGCAACCAUUGCUGCUAGUUGCCAGCGGAUCUUCGGAUGCCGGGCACUCUAGCGGGACUGCCAGCGAUGAGCUGGAGGAAGGUGGUGAUGACGUCAAGUCAGUAUGGCCCUUAUGCCUGGGGCGACACACGUGUUACAAUGGGGUGCACAAUGCGCUGCAAACUCGCGAGAGCAAGCUAAUCGCCUAAAGCACUCCUCAGUUCGGAUUGAAGGCUGCAAUUCGCCUUCAUGAAGCUGGAAUCGCUAGUAAUGGCGGGUCAGAAUACCGCCGUGAAUACGUUCCCUGGCCUUGUACACACCGCCCGUCAAGCGAUGGAAGCCGGAAGCGCCCGAAGACGGUGUACCAACCUGCAAAGGAGGAAGCUGUCGAAGGCGAGGUCGGUGACUGGCGCUAAGUCGUA